CUGGACACUGCCAAACUCACGUGAAUCUGGCGACGAGGCUACCAAAGACUAACUAAAUUUACAAUAUCUAUCAGAUACUGUUUAUAAAAAAACAACAAAAUUUUCUCAAAUUAUGCAAAUGAAAUUGCAAGUAUUAUCUAGUCUUACAAGCAAGUUAGUUGACGAAUACAUGUUGUCUAAGCAGUAAA